GAACUUAAGCAUAUCAAUAAGCGGAGGAAAAGAAACUAACAAGGAUUCCCCUAGUAACGGCGAGUGAAGCGGGAACAGCUCAAAUUUGAAAUCUCAGCGCAAGCUGCGAAUUGUAGUUUAGAGAAACGUUUUCGGGGCCGGCAGCCAGUACAAGUUCUUUGGAACAAGGCAUCACAGAGGGUGAAAAUCCCGUCUUUGACUGGCUGCUUGGUUCCAUGUGAUACGUUUUCCAAGAGUCGGUUUGUUUGGGAGUGCAGACCAAAAUGGGUGGUAAAUACCAUCUAAAGCUAAAUAUUGGCGAGAGACCGAUAGCGAACAAGUACCGUGAGGGAAAGAUGAAAAGAACUUUGAAAAGAGAGUUAAACAGUGCGUGAAAUUGUCAAAAGGGAAACGUUUAAAACCAGUAUUGCGGGCAGAAACUCAGGUUCCAUUUAUGGUGCUGUAUUUUUCUGUCGGCGAGUCAACAUCAGUUUUGCUUGGAGUAAAACGCCAGGGGAAGGUAGCCUUCGGGUGUUAUAGCCUCUGGUAAUGCUCUGGGCGGGACUGAGGACUGCAGCGUUCUUUGGGUUUACCACACCAACGCUUAGGAUGUUGACGAAAUGGUUUUAAGCGACCCGUCUUGAAACACGGACCAAGGAGUCUAACAUAUAUGCGAGUAUUUGGGUGGCAAACCCUUAUGCGUAAUGAAAGUGAAAAGGUGGGAUCCUUUGCUGGUGCACCAUCGACCGCGCCAGAUUAUUGCUAUCUCGGCGUGAGUAUGAGCAUACAUGUUGGGACCCGAAA
rnacentral:rRNA from 1 species